UACUGGACCUUCCAGGUUUAUUUUAAUAUUCCCUUUCUGCUGCUGUUAGCAUCUGCUUUUCACAUUAUGUUCUAUGUGUAACACCCUGGGAAAGGUGUCACUGCUAAUGUAAAGGUUUUUCUGUAGCAGCAGUGUUGGGGUUAUGGCUAGAGAUAACGGAAUGUUAGGUGGAAUAUGCGCCACCCAAUAAAGGGAGUGUUUUUUUCUUGUUGUGUGCCUGAGACCAAGGUCAUCUGGGUCUUUUGUUCAGCGGGAAAUGAAGAGAGAGAAGAUGGCAAAAAGGAGAGGUCAUAGAAAGGAGUGGAUUUGGAGUGGUGCCAGGAGUCGACGAAUCCCAGGGAAAUCGAUGGAGGACCAACGGAAGAGAAACUUGCUCAACAAGUUGAGAAAGUUUGCUGCUUAACAUAUGAGCAUCAAACUACUGCAAGCAAAAAUAAACCAUACAAAGAAACUGAUGGUGGAUCUUUUGGCAGAUCCAGGACAAUAUAACUGACAGUCACUCCCGGGCACCUCCAGGGCGAUGUCCACGAUCAAGAAAGGCACUGCUACACAGAUUUACUGUAUGUUUCAGAAAACAAAAGAGAUGCCCAAGAGGACCUGAGCAGAACUGAAACCAAAUUUGCAAUAAAUCCC